GAUGAAGAACGUAGCGAAGUGCGAUAAGUAAUGUGAAUUGCAGAAUUCCGUGAAUCAUCGAAUCUUUGAACGCAAAUUGCGCUUCCUGGCAUCCCGGGAAGUAUGCCUGUUUGAGGGUCAGUGUUAAUAAAAAUCGGUUCGUUGCGAAUUUUUUUGUGACGUUCCGGAGUUUGGGUUAUCUUAACUUUUUUGGUUAAGAGGCUUAAAAUUGACCUUUUUUUUGCGCAUUUUUUAGACGUACAUAAAUUUUUUUUUAUUCGUCUAUUCUUAAUGCCAAAAUCUUAUUAGAUGCGACCAUAUCGUGUGGUUUCGUGUCCAUAAAUUUUUCAUGAUUUGACCUCAAAUCAGGUAAGAGUACCCGCUGAACUUAAGCAUAUCAUAAGCGGAGGA
rnacentral:misc_RNA from 1 species